CUAUGUUGGCCGGGCGACGGUUGUCCCGGUUUAAGCGUGUAGGCUGGUUUUCCAGGCAAAUCCGGAAAAUCAAGGCUGAGGCGUGAUGACGAGGCACUACGGUGCUGAAGCAACAAAUGCCCUGCUUCCAGGAAAAGCCUCUAAGCAUCAGGUAACAUCAAAUCGUACCCCAAACCGACACAGGUGGUCAGGUAGAGAAUACCAAGGCGCUUGAGAGAACUCGGGUGAAGGAACUAGGCAAAAUGGUGCCGUAACUUCGGGAGAAGGCACGCUGAUAUGUAGGUGAAGUCCCUCGCGGAUGGAGCUGAAAUCAGUCGAAGAUACCAGCUGGCUGCAACUGUUUAUUAAAAACACAGCACUGUGCAAACACGAAAGUGGACGUAUACGGUGUGACGCCUGCCCGGUGCCGGAAGGUUAAUUGAUGGGGUCAGCGCAAGCGAAGCUCUUGAUCGAAGCCCCGGUAAACGGCGGCCGUAACUAUAACGGUCCUAAGGUAGCGAAAUUCCUUGUCGGGUAAGUUCCGACCUGCACGAAUGGCGUAAUGAUGGCCAGGCUGUCUCCACCCGAGACUCAGUGAAAUUGAACUCGCUGUGAAGAUGCAGUGUACCCGCGGCAAGACGGAAAGACCCCGUGAACCUUUACUAUAGCUUGACACUGAACAUUGAGCCUUGAUGUGUAGGAUAGGUGGGAGGCUUUGAAGUGUGGACGCCAGUCUGCAUGGAGCCGACCUUGAAAUACCACCCUUUAAUGUUUGAUGUUCUAACGUGGACCCGUGAUCCGGGUUGCGGACAGUGUCUGGUGGGUAGUUUGACUGGGGCGGUCUCCUCCUAAAGAGUAACGGAGGAGCACGAAGGUUGGCUAAUCCUGGUCGGACAUCAGGAGGUUAGUGCAAUGGCAUAAGCCAGCUUGACUGCGAGCGUGACGGCGCGAGCAGGUGCGAAAGCAGGUCAUAGUGAUCCGGUGGUUCUGAAUGGAAGGGCCAUCGCUCAACGGAUAAAAGGUACUCCGGGGAUAACAGGCUGAUACCGCCCAAGAGUUCAUAUCGACGGCGGUGUUUGGCACCUCGAUGUCGGCUCAUCACAUCCUGGGGCUGAAGUAGGUCCCAAGGGUAUGGCUGUUCGCCAUUUAAAGUGGUACGCGAGCUGGGUUUAGAACGUCGUGAGACAGUUCGGUCCCUAUCUGCCGUGGGCGCUGGAGAACUGAGGGGGGCUGCUCCUAGUACGAGAGGACCGGAGUGGACGCAUCACUGGUGUUCGGGUUGUCAUGCCAAUGGCACUGCCCGGUAGCUAAAUGCGGAAGAGAUAAGUGCUGAAAGCAUCUAAGCACGAAACUUGCCCCGAGAUGAGUUCUCCCUGACCCUUUAAGGGUCCUGAAGGAACGUUGAAGACGACGACGUUGAUAGGCCGGGUGUGUAAGCGCAGCGAUGCGUUGAGCUAACCGGUACUAAUGAACCGUGAGGCUUAACCUU
rnacentral:rRNA from 1 species